rnacentral:lncRNA from 1 species
CCACUCCAGCCUACCUCAAGGUUAAACAACACUUCAACAGUCUCUCCACUCCAGCCUACCUCGAAGGUUAAACCAACACUUCAACAGUCUUCUCUUCUCCACCCCUACCUCUAAGGUUACCAACACUUCAACAGUCUUCUCCACUCCAGCCUACCUCUAAGGUUAACCACACUCUAUCAACGUCUUCUCCACUCCAGCCUACCUCUAAGGUUAAACCAACACUUCAACAGUCUCUCCACUCCAGCCUACCUCUAAGGUUAAACAACACUUCAACAGUCUUCUCUUCUCCAGCCUACCUUAAGGUUACCAACACUUCAACAGUCUCUCCACUCCAGCCUACCUCUAAGGUUAAACCAACACUUCAACAGUCUCUUCUCAGCCUACCUCUAAGGUUAAACCAACACUUCAACAGUCUUCUCUUCUCCAGCCUACCUCUAAGGUUAAACCAACACUUCAACAGUCUUCUCCACUCCAGCCUACCUCUAAGGUUAAACCAACACUUCAACAGUCUUUCUCCACUCCAGUCUACCUCUAAGUUAAAUCAACACUUCAACAGCCUUCACUCCCAGCCUACUCUAAGGUUAAACCAACACUCAAACAGCUCUCUUUCCAGCCUACCUCUAAGGUUAAACAACACUUCAACAGUCUUCUCCACUCCAGCCUACCUCUAAGGUUAUCCAACACUUCAACAGCCUUCUCUUCUCCAGCCUACCCUAAGGAGCUCAUGGAUAGGUGGAUCCCGCCGCUCCUCGACAGCCCUCCAGUCUCUUCCAUCUCAGCCAGGAAGUUCUUGACACUGUUCGGGGUUCAAAGGGCAGGUUCUGCAUGUGUUCCUGUCCUCCCUGACCCAUACUGCUGCUGUAGGUUCUGAUCCAUGUUCACCACCCAUGUUCAUGUGCUCCAUGACCCCAUC